rnacentral:rRNA from 1 species
UGGGGAAUAUUGCACAAUGGGCGCACGCCUGAUGCAGCCAUGCCGCGUGUAUGAAGAAGGCCUUCGGGUUGUAAAGUACUUUCAGCGAGGAGGAAGGCGGUAAGGUUAAUAACCUUAUCGAUUGACGUUACUCGCAGAAGAAGCACCGGCUAACUCCGUGCCAGCAGCCGCGGUAAUACGGAGGGUGCAAGCGUUAAUCGGAAUUACUGGGCGUAAAGCGCACGCAGGCGGUCUGUCAAGUCGGAUGUGAAAUCCCCGGGCUCAACCUGGGAACUGCAUUCGAAACUGGCAGGCUAGAGUCUUGUAGAGGGGGGUAGAAUUCCAGGUGUAGCGGUGAAAUGCGUAGAGAUCUGGAGGAAUACCGGUGGCGAAGGCGGCCCCCUGGACAAAGACUGACGCUCAGGUGCGAAAGCGUGGGGAGCAAACA